rnacentral:tRNA from 1 species
GCCGGUAUAGUUUAAGGGUAGAAACCUGCCACUCAUAACGGCAGUAAGAUGGGUUCGAGUCCCUCUGCUGGCUAAUAAAACCAAGAUAGUCAAUUAUCAUGAGAAUUAGAAAU